UUCCCAUGCUCCUGUAAGUCGCUCUAGAUAAGAGCGUCUGCUAAAUGACAAAAA
rfam:Salmo salar isolate Sally breed double haploid chromosome ssa09, whole genome shotgun sequence.